GGCAAGUGCGUUCCUGAAAUUAUCUUAGUUAUUUAGUGUAAAAUUGCUGUUAUUUAUUGCUGAUUUGCUGCUUUUUAACCGCCACAUAGCCGUUGACGAGGGUGCAACAAAGGUUUGUGGAUUGCAUGCAUUAUAUUUAUAUUUUUGGUAUUUAUUGCUCGUGUAUGUAGUGUGCAAGCAAAGGUAGGUUAUAAGUAAAAAUCGGCGCGAUGCGGUGCAUGUGUAAAAGUGCAAUAAGCAAAUGCGCACAUAGGAGGUUGCUGAUCACAUUGGACCUGAUAUUAAGUUUAGUUAUUGAAACAACUGAAAACCAACAAUUUCAAGAAAAUGGCGGAGAAUUUGAUCAUCUACAUUUACACACCAACAUUGUAUGAAUAUUAGCAUCCCUGCAGCAUACAAGCAACAACCCAGCAAUUUUCAAUCUUCUAGAUUGUUAAACAUCAUCAUUUUCUUCUUUUACACGUUAUUCUUUAAUCAUCUCUCUAAUCAUGCUUAAAUUUUUGCGUUUUAGCAAAAAUAUCUUAAAAUUACAUUUAGGCCACAAUAUGGCCUAUUUGUACUGCGUGGUGUGAUUACAAUAUAACUAAUACAUAAAAUAUGUAUUAGAGGCGGAUGUUAGCAGUCGUAAAUCAUAAUACGUCGGCAAUAAAAUCUUAUUACCAUCGUA